AUUGACGCUGUCGGCAGGCCUAACACAUGCAAGUCGAGCGCGCGGCGGACGGGUGAGUAAUGUAUGGGGAUCUGCCCGAUAGAGGGGGAUAACUACUGUAAACGGUAGCUAAUACCGCAUCCCAUCCGAUGAACCCAUAUGGGAUUGGCUUGUAGGUGGGGUAACGGCUCACCUAGGCGACGAUCCCUAGCUGGUCUGAGAGGAUGAGCAUCCACACUGGGACUGAGAAACGGCCCAGACUCCUACGGGAGGAAGCAGUGGGGAAUAUUGAACAAUGGGCGCAAGCCGGAGGCAGCCAUGCCGAGUGUAUGAAGAAGGCCUUCGGGUUGUAAAGUACUUUCAGUCGGGAGGCGUUACCGACAGAAGAAGCACCGGCUAACUCCGUGCCAGCAGCCGCGGUAAUUC
rnacentral:rRNA from 1 species